UUCCGGUUGAUCCUGCGGACCUCACUGCUAUCGGGGUGGGACUAAUACAUGCAAGUCGUACGCCUCCCAGCCGCCGGGGGAGGCGUGGCGCACGGCUCCGUAACACGUGGCUAACCUACCCUUGGGACGGGGAUAACCCCGGGAAACUGGGGCUAAUCCCCGAUAGGAGAGAGCACCUGGAAUGGGCUCUCUCCGAAAGGGGUACAACGCCAUGCCCGUUGUACCCGCCCGAGGAUGGGGCUGCGGCCUAUCACGUAGUUGGCGGGGUAACGGCCCGCCAAGCCGAUAACGGGUAGGGGCCCGUGGGAGCGGGAGCCCCGAGAUGGGCACUGAGACAAGGGCCCAGGUCCUACGGGGUGCAGCAGGCGCGAAACCUCCGCAAUGCGGGAAACCCGUGACGGGGUCACCCCGAGUGCCACCCGAAGAGGGUGGCUUUUCCCCGGUCUAAAAAGCCGGGGGUAAUAAGCGGGGGGCAAGUCUGGUGUCCAGCCGCCGCGGUAAUACCAGCCCCGCGAGUGGUCGGGACGUUUAUUGGGCCUAAAGCGUCCGUAGCCGGCCCGGUAAGUCCCUCCUUAAAUCCACGGGCUCAACCCGUGGGCUGGGAGGGAUACUGCCGGGCUAGGGGGCGGGAGAGGCCGAGGGUACUCCCGGGGUAGGGGCGAAAUCCGUUAAUCCCGGGAGGACCACCAGUGGCGAAGAUCGCUCGGCUGGAACGCGCCCGACGGUGAGGGACGAAAGCUGGGGGAGCAAAGGGGAUUAGAUACCCCCGUAGUCCCAGCCGUAAUCGAUGCGGUUAUAGGUGUUUGGUGGGCCUAGAGCCCACCCAGUGCCGCAGGGAAGCCGUUAAGCCCGCCGCCUGGGGAGUACGGCCGCAAGGCUGAAACUUAAAGGAAUUGGCGGGGGAGCACCACAAGGGGUGAAGCUUGCGGUUUAAUUGGAUCAACGCCGGAAAU
rnacentral:rRNA from 1 species